rnacentral:lncRNA from 1 species
CUUCUACAUAUCUAUUAUUGGUACAUGAAAACAAACAAAUUCAUAAGUCGAAAUUCUGAUGGAUUCGAACACUUGAAUAUUUAUUCCAGUCAACUUGAGGGAUAUUUAAAGCAGUCCGGACAAAAUAUUUUGAAAAGCUCAAAAUACACUGAAGAACUCAAAUUGCUUCACUUGCAUUAAUUCUUGAUCAAGGAUCUCAGUACGUUAAAGGAAUUACCUGGAUAGCAGAAAAAAUGCCAGCAAUGGAUGAACUAAAAAUCAGCAGCAGUGACAACAAGAAACAGCAGAAAAAAACCAGAUAAAUCAAUCCGAAUAGACCUCGAAGCUCAACAAACUUUCAAGGAAGGAAAACCCAAAAACUAAACUUCAAGGACCUUUGUUCUUUUUAGUAUUUUAGUUUCAGAAAAUUCACUUAAAAAGCUCUCAAAAUCUCUGUUGUUUUUGUGCUCAAAGUCUCUCUCAUGUAUAGUGUGUGUAAAGAUUGUCCUAAAAAUAGGGGAAAUGGGGAAAGAUCGAGUGUGUGUUCCUUUUUCGGUGAGUAAGAAUGUGUAUUCUUAGUGUAAGAGAGUCCCCUUAUAGGAGAAGAGCAGCCCAUUAAAUAGGCAAAUAAAGUCAGAUUUUUUUGAUAGAUUUUGGUUCCAGAAAAGUCUGUCCAAAAGGCUGACUUUGUAUGCUAAACACUAUUCAAAAUCUGUCCAAAAGGUGAAAGGACAACCUGAAAAUCUGCUAUGUCAGAAGCAAGGAGAAAUAUUAUCAUCUCAGCCACUCUACUAGUAAAAAGUGGGUAACUAUUAUCCUAUUUUGUGAUAAAAUAACCUAAACUUCAGAUUUUAACCAUCAGCACCAAACUACUUUCUUAACACAAAUCAAACUUAAACAACUAUGGACUGUCAAAACAUAAACACUUUCAUUGUAACUAAUACUCAAACUAACUAGGCUAAAUCAAUUUGAUUUGUGCAAACUAAACAUAGAACAAACAACUAAAUUCAUAAGCUAAUGCUCAAAACAGGAAUUAGACAAGCAUUGUUAACAAACGACGACGACGUUCAACAACUAAACAAUCAACUAAGUGAAUGAUUUAACUAAUAGACUAAAGAUCACGUUUAAUCAAUAACAGCCUAAGAAACAACUAAACUAGAUAGAGGUAACUAAUUAAAUAAACCUAACUUGAAACUCUAAUUAUCAGUAGUCGAUCACAAUAAAUGAAUCAAAACAGAACCUAAAAUCAGAACAUAGAAACUAGACAACAAAGAAAGAAAGAAAAGAAGAGAAAAAAAGGUUAGUGGCUAUACCAAAUGAUCCAAAACAGCUUCCCUCAAACUCAAAGACGAUGCAAACCGCGGUAAAUCGAUUCCCAAAGUUCUAUUUUCUCAAUGGCUUUUGCUGAAAAAAAGAAAUUUUGGCAUACGGAAAUUGAUUCCAAGCCCAGCCAAGGGGAAAACAAAGAUGUGGGGUCGUGUAGGUGGUGAGGCAGUGGUGGUGGUCAUGUGGCGUGAGGCGGCAAUGGGGGUGGCUGACCAAUGUUCAUCCAUUUUUCAGAAGGGUUUGAAGGUUUUGGGGUGUGGAAUGGAGAAGAGGAGAGUGAGAGGAGGCCAGUGGUGUAAAAUUUUCGGAGUUUGAGGGUGGUGAGAGGCGGCUAGGGUUUCGGUUAGGCUUAGAUUAUGGAGAUUGAGAUGGGUUAUGGGGAUUUAGGGUUCGGAUUUAUGGAGAGGAGGUUGAGCGGAAGAAGUGGUGAAAUUUUGGGGUGGUUUGGAGGUGCGCCACCACCGUAAGGCGAUUUUCGGCCGACGGAGAUAGGUGGCGGUGCAGAGAGAGGGUGAGAGAGAGAAGAGAAGGAGAAAAAAGAAGAAAAUAGGGGAAAUGGG